rnacentral:lncRNA from 10 species
CUCCAUGAAGCCUGGCAUGAAUGGAAGUGUGGAAGAAGUAUAACGAAACUGGGAUCCAUAGAGGGUUAUCUGCCUAGAAGAGGGUCAGCAGUCCAGACUAGAUCUUGAGUGUCUGACAUCAGCGUGAGCGACUGUCCUACCACAUCAGACGUGCCGUGAGAGAGAGGACUACAGAGGCUGCACAUCCCUGAGAAAAGCAAGAAGCCCGGAUAUCAGGAGAUGUGGGGAUGCCGGGUGUUCACACCAAUGGCAGAAAGAGGAGUGACAGAGGUAACACCAGGAUUCUACAAGACAUCUGAGGGUAAAGAGAGAAGGAAAAUAAAAAAACACAAACUUGAUGACAACUAUUCAGUUUAGUGCAAUACAGACUGUGUUAAGUGCAGGUUAAUAAGGAGCAGUGAAGAAAAGAGGAAAAUAAUUAAGCUAUUUGGACCUGUGACUAGAUGUUGUUAUAAUUAAAAUUCUUUCAUUUCUCACUUU